CAAGUCAAAUCCUCAGUGAAGAGAAGGCUACCAAUAAAAGGAAGAGAAGAAGGUGAGACUAAAUUGUUCGAAGCCCAGAAAGUAACAGGCUUUGAUUUUCCGAAAUGCUUUCCAUUCUUUAUCUAGGUUGCUUGGAGUAUGGGGAAUCAUUUGCUUCAUAUUUUCUCCAACUGAUGACAUAUCUAGCGUUUUUCUAAGCCAAAUCUGCAACUCUCAAUUAACCAGCUUUAGAUGAGCCAAAGCAAAAAAGAAAAAAAGCAGAAAGGAGGAGGAUCUGGUUUUCUUGAUCCAGUUCGAUUAUCAGAUGCCCUUGUAAAAUUCUUUGGUAUUGGUGAAAAUGCAUUGCCUCGAGCUGAUGUCAUCCAGAGAAUAUGGCAAUAUAUAAAAGAAAAUGAGCUUCAGAUGGCAUGAAUUAAAAGGGUAUUGAGCGUUACUGGACAAAAAUUACUGGAGCAAAUCCCAUGCCACAGAAGUUACCCAGUGGUUGUAUUGUUAGGCAUUUGACUGUGUGCUUUUUUCUUUCCAGGAUCCAUCUGAUAAGAAGACAAUCAUCUGUGAUGGAAGAUUAAAAAAACUAUUUCAAGUUGAUUCCUUCCAUGGCUUCAUAGUUACAAAGCUCUUGACUGCUUAUUUUAUCAAAAAAUAAGACAGAUUUUGUAGCUUGCUUGCAUUUGGCAAUGAGGGUAAUUUGUCUUCGAUGGUCAUGCAUAUAUGUUGAUUAUGUUCCAUAAAUAUUGUUAUCUUUGUCCUUUGAAAGUAUUAAUAGUCAUGCGAAAUUUCUUUUC